rnacentral:rRNA from 1 species
ACCCGCUGAACUUAAGCAUAUCAAUAAGCGGAGGAAAAGAAACUAACAAGGAUUCCCCUAGUAACGGCGAGUGAAGCGGGAAUAGCUCAAAUUUGAAAUCUCAUAGGUUUACCUGUGCGAAUUGUAGUUUAAAGAAACGUUUUCGGGAGCGGCUUGGGUAUAAGUCCUUUGGAAAGAGGCACCUAAGAGGGUGACAGUCCCGUGCAUGAUCCAAUGUCCGCUUCUAUGUGAUACGUUCUCAAAGAGUCAGGUAGUUUGGGAUUGCUGCCUAAAAUGGGUGGUAAAUACCAUCUAAAGCUAAAUAUUGGCGAGAGACCGAUAGCGAACAAGUACCGUGAGGGAAAGAUGAAAAGAACUUUGAAAAGAGAGUUAAACAGUACGUGAAAUUGCCAAAAGGGAAACGCUUGGAACCAGUAUUGUUUGCAUGUAAUCAAGUACACGUUCCGCAAGGGUCGCGUGUGCUGCACUUGCGUGUAGACAGGCCAACAUCAGUUUGAUUUGAGGUACAAAGCCUGAGAAAGGUAGCUUGGACUUGUCUGAGUGUUAUAGUCUCUGGUCAUGCCUUGGAUUGGACUGAGGACUGCAGCGUUUUUUGGGUUACCUGGUGGCUGCUUGAAACCAACCUUUAGACAGCAUGCUGACUUUGGGCGGGCGUAGGGUACUCACUAGGAUAACCACACCAGCGCUUAGGAUGUCGGCGAAAUGGUUCCAAACGACCCGUCUUGAAACACGG